GGUGGUACAGCUCAGUGGUAGAAUGUGUGCUUAGCAUGCAUGAUGUCCUGGGUUCAAUCCCCAAUACCUCCA
rnacentral:tRNA from 1 species